rfam:Schistosoma haematobium scaffold697_6, whole genome shotgun sequence.
AUCCAGCUGACGACUCCCAAAUAGGACGGAACGCGCUUCCUGGAU